rnacentral:rRNA from 1 species
CAGCAGCCGCGGGAAUACGUAGGGUGCAAGCGUUAAUCGGAAUUACUGGGCGUAAAGCGUGCGCAGGCGGUUAUAUAAGACAGAUGUGAAAUCCCCGGGCUCAACCUGGGAACUGCAUUUGUGACUGUAUAGCUAGAGUACGGCAGAGGGGGAUGGAAUUCCGCGUGUAGCAGUGAAAUGCGUAGAUAUGCGGAGGAACACCGAUGGCGAAGGCAAUCCCCUUGGCCUGUACUGACGCUCAUGCACGAAAGCGUGGGGAGCAAACAGGAUUAGAUACCCCCGUAGUCCCUGUCUCUUAUAC